rnacentral:rRNA from 1 species
UACGUAGGGCGCAAGCGUUGUCCGGAAUUAUUGGGCGUAAAGAGCGUGUAGGCGGCUUGAUUAGUCUGCUGUGAAAGUCCAGGGCUCAACCCUGGAAUGCCGGUGGAUACUGUCAAGCUAGAGUCCGGAAGGGGCGAGUGGAAUUCCUGGUGUAGCGGUGAAAUGCGCAGAUAUCAGGAGGAACACCAAUGGCGAAGGCAGCUCGCUGGGACGUGACUGACGCUGAGACGCGAAAGCGUGGGGAGCAAACAGG